GCACCCAUCGUAUAACGGUUAGUAUAUCUGACUUCCAAUCAGAUGGUGUGGUUUCAAUUACCACUGGGUGCCCCA
rnacentral:tRNA from 1 species